rnacentral:rRNA from 1 species
UGCCUACGGGGCGAGCAGUGGGGGAUAUUGCACAAUGGGGGGAACCCUGAUGCGGCGACGCCGCGUGGGUGAAGAAGCGCCUCGGCGCGUAAAGCCCUGUCAGCAGGGAAGAAAAUGACGGUACCUGACUAAGAAGCCCCGGCUAACUACGUGCCAGCAGCCGCGGUAAUACGUAGGGGGCAAGCGUUAUCCGGAUUUACUGGGUGUAAAGGGAGCGUAGACGGUGCAGCAAGUCUGAUGUGAAAGGUCGGGGCCCAACCCCGGGACUGCAUUGGAAACUGUUGAACUGGAGUACAGGAGAGGUA